CCUACGGGUGACAGCAGUGAGGAAUAUUGGUCAAUGGACGCAAGUCUGAACCAGCCAUGCCGCGUGCAGGAAGACGGCUCUAUGAGUUGUAAACUGCUUUUGUACGAGGGUAAACGCAGAUACGCGUAUCUGUCUGAAAGUAUCGUACGAAUAAGGAUCGGCUAACUCCGUGCCAGCAGCCGCGGUAAUACGGAGGAUUCAAGCGUUAUCCGGAUUUAUUGGGUUUAAAGGGUGCGUAGGCGGUUGGAUAAGUUAGAGGUGAAAUCCCGAGGCUCAACUUCGGAACUGCCUCUGAUACUGUCCGGCUAGAGAGUAGUUGCGGUAGGCGGAAUGUAUGGUGUAGCGGUGAAAUGCUUAGAGAUCAUACAGAACACCGAUUGCGAAGGCAGCUUACCAAGCUACUACUGACGUUGAGGCACGAAAGCGUGGGGAGCAAACAGGAUUAGAUACCCGUGUAGUC
rnacentral:rRNA from 1 species